rnacentral:rRNA from 1 species
GACGAACGCUGGCGGCGUGCUUAACACAUGCAAGUCGAACGGAAAGGCCCUGCUUUUGUGGGGUGCUCGAGUGGCGAACGGGUGAGUAACACGUGAGUAACCUGCCCUUGACUUUGGGAUAACUUCAGGAAACUGGGGCUAAUACCGGAUAGGAGCUCCUGCUGCAUGGUGGGGGUUGGAAAGUUUCGGCGGUUGGGGAUGGACUCGCGGCUUAUCAGCUUGUUGGUGGGGUAGUGGCUUACCAAGGCUUUGACGGGUAGCCGGCCUGAGAGGGUGACCGGCCACACUGGGACUGAGAUGCGGCCCAGACUCCUACGGGAGGCAGCAGUGGGGAAUAUUGCACAAUGGGCGGAAGCCUGAUGCAGCAACGCCGCGUGCGGGAUGACGGCCUUCGGGUUGUAAACCGCUUUCGCCUGUGACGAAGCGUGAGUGACGGUAAUGGGUGAAGAAGCACCGGCUAACUACGUG